GAUGAAGAACGUAGCGAAAUGCGAUACUUGGUGUGAAUUGCAGAAUCCCGUGAACCAUCGAGUCUUUGAACGCAAGUUGCGCCCGAAGCCACUAGGCCGAGGGCACGCCUGCCUGGGCGUCACACGCCGUUGCCCCCCCAUCUACUCCUUCGGGAUUGCGGGGGGGCGGAUGAUGGCCUCCCGUGCGCCUAGCCGCGCGGUUGGCAUAAAUACCAAGUCCUCGGCGACGCACGCCACGACAAUCGGUGGUUGCGAAACCUCGGUUGCCCGUCGUGUGCGUUCGUCGCGCAUCGAGGGCUCGAAAAAAUGCUCGGCUCCGGCUGGGCUUUCAACGCGACCCCAGGUCAGGCGGGGUUACCCGCUGAAUUUAAGCAUACAAAAGCGGAGGA
rnacentral:misc_RNA from 1 species